rnacentral:misc_RNA from 1 species
GAAAUGCGAUACGUAAUGUGAAUUGCAAAUUCAGUGAAUCAUCGAGUCUUUGAACGCACAUUGCGCCCCCUGGUAUUCCGGGGGGCAUGCCUGUCCGAGCGUCAUUUCUGCCCUCAAGCACGGCUUGUGUGUUGGGCCCCGUCCUCCGAUCCCGGGGGACAGGCCCGAAAGGCAGCGGCGGCACCGCGUCCGGUCCUCGAGCGUAUGGGGCUUUGUCACCCGCUCUGUAGGCCCGGCCGGCGCUUGCCGAUCAACCCAAAUUUUUAUCCAGGUUGACCUCGGAUCAGGUAGGGAUACCCGCUGAACUUAAGC